UACGAAGGGGGCGAGCGUUGUUCGGAUUUACUGGGCGUAAAGGGCGCGCAGGCGGCUCAUUUUGUCAGGCGUGAAAGCCCCGGGCUUAACCUGGGAACUGCGUUUGAUACGGGUGGGCUAGAGUUCGGGAGAGGAGAGUGGAAUUCCCAGUGUAGAGGUGAAAUUCGUAGAUAUUGGGAAGAACACCGGUGGCGAAGGCGGCUCUCUGGACCGAUACUGACGCUGAGGCGCGAAAGCGUGGGGAGCAAACGGG
rnacentral:rRNA from 1 species